AGAAAGAUAAUAUGAUAUCUAUGUCGUUCACUUAUUUAGAAUAAAUUCAGUUAGGAAUGUGAAACAGUUAGGUUUCGAAAUUUUGGACCUUGAGUAUUAAUCACUAAGUUCUUAUGAUAUAUCGGAUGGAAAUAAAAUUGUGAUGUGAUAUAUAAGAGAUCAUGGACACUAGUAUUAACUAGUGGAUUUAAAUAUUUUAGGCCGGUAGUUUUGAGUUCAACGAAUUAUUAUUAUUAGUGGGCUGAGUAGUUAUAGUUCUUAGGCUUCGUUUGGGAUUGCACGGGGAUUACGUUACGUGCGGUGAGAAAGUACGUUAGAAAAAUAUCCUGUUUGUUUUCGUACGUAAUAUUGUGUUCCGCAUAUCGCGAUGAGUCGGUUACGAUAUAUUUUCUGCAGUCCCACCGGAGAACGCAGAAAUAUAUCCCUACAUGUUUUUUCCUUAACUCCAUUUUAUCUAAUAGCGUUAGAUAGACCUCAAUAUCAAACUAAGCCUUAGUCAACUAUGUUAGGUACAUACGAUCGGUGGUACGGAAGUAGAUGUUUUAAUUUAGAAAAUUUUAUUAUGCAAAAGAGUAAGUUGUUGAAAUGAAUUAUUAUAAUACCAUAAUACUUUUGGAGUUAAGAAAAUCAUCUUUUUAUUUUCAUAUUUUUCUCGAUGAUGAAAUAUCUAAAUUGACAAUCAACACUAUAGAUUAUUAUCUGCAAUAUUUUUUAAAAUUGAAUUUUACGAUUGUAUAACAUU
rnacentral:lncRNA from 1 species